AUUGAACGCUGGCGGCAGGCCUAACACAUGCAAGUCGAGCGAGCGGCGGACGGGUGAGUAAUGUAUGGGGCUCUGCCUGAGAGAGGGGGCUAACUACUGGAAACGGUAGCUAAUACCGCAUACUAUCGGAUGAACCCACAUGGGAUUAGCUAGUAGGUGGGGUAACGGCUCACCUCGGCGACGAUCCCUAACUGGUCUGAGAGGAGGAUCAGCCACACUGGGACUGAGCCACGGCCCAGACUCCUACGGGAGGCAGCAGUGGGGAAUAUUGAACAAUGGGCGAAAGCCGGAUGCAGCCAUGCCGCGUGUUUGAAGAAGGCCUUCGGGUUGGAAAGUACUUUCAGCGGGGAGGCGUUACCAGCAGAAGAAGCACCGGCUAACUCCGUGCCAGCAGCCGCGGUAAUAC
rnacentral:rRNA from 1 species